GGCGAGAUGGCCGAGCGGUCUAAGGCGCCAGACUAAGGCAGUUGAGUGGACUCCCGUUUACCCAGCUUGCGCAAUCUGGUCCUCACGGGCGUGGGUUCGAAUCCCACUCUCGUCA